rnacentral:rRNA from 1 species
GACGAACGCUGGCGGCGUGCUUAACACAUGCAAGUCGAACGUGAUUUUUGUGGAAAUUCUUUCGGGAAUGGAGAUGAAAUGAAAGUGGCGAACGGGUGAGUAACACGUGAGCAACCUACCUUACACAGGGGGAUAGCCGUUGGAAACGACGAUUAAUACCGCAUGAGACCACAGAAUCGCAUGAUAUAGGGGUCAAAGAUUUAUCGGUGUAAGAAGGGCUCGCGUCUGAUUAGCUAGUUGGAAGGGUAAAGGCCUACCAAGGCGACGAUCAGUAGCCGGUCUGAGAGGAUGAACGGCCACAGUGGAACUGAGACACGGUCCAAACUCCUACGGGAGGCAGCAGUGGGGAAUAUUGCACAAUGGGGGGAACCCUGAUGCAGCGACGCCGCGUGAGCGAAGAAGGUUUUCGAAUCGUAAAGCUCUGUCCUAUGAGAAGAUAAUGACGGUAUCAUAGGAGGAAGCCCCGGCUAAAUACGUG